rnacentral:rRNA from 1 species
UACGUAGGGAGCAAGCGUUGUCCGGAAUCAUUGGGCGUAAAGCGCGCGUAGGUGGCCUCAUAAGUCCGCUGUGAAAGUCCAAGGUUCAACCUUGGAAAGCCGGUGGAUACUGUGAGGCUAGAGUACGGAAGAGGCGAGUGGAAUUCCUGGUGUAGCGGUGAAAUGCGCAGAUAUCAGGAAGAACACCCGUGGCGAAGGCGGCUCUCUGGGACGGUACUGACGCUGAGACGCGAAAGCGUGGGGAGCGAACAGG